UUAAAAAGCUCGUAGUUGGAUUUCUGGGAAGGCGUUAAUGCUAGCUUCUUGCUUUCGCAACGGCACCUUUCCAUCCUUCUGUUAGCGCCUCUUGGCAUUCAUUUGCUGGUGGCGGGCUCAGACAUUUUACCUUGAGAAAAUUAGAGUGUUUCAGGCAGGCUACGCCGGAAUACAUUAGCAUGGAAUAAUGGAAUAGGACUGAGGUCUCUUUGUUGGUUUGAGGGACUCCAGUAAUGAUUAAUAGGGACAGUUGGGGGCAUUAGUAUUUAUUAGUCAGAGGUGGAAUUCUAUGAUUUGAUAAAGACUAACUUAUGCGAAAGCAUUUGGCCAAGGAUGUUUUCCAUUAAAUCCAAGAACGAAAAGUUAGGGGAUUCAAAGACCGAUCAGAUACCGUCCUAGUCUUAACCAUAAACUAUGCCGACUCGGGAUUGGGAGUGAGAACUAUCCGCCUCUCAGCACCGUACGAGA
rnacentral:rRNA from 1 species